UACGUAGGGUGCGAGCGUUGCCCGGAUUUAUUGGGCGUAAAGGGCUCGUAGGCGGUCUGUCGCGUCGGGAGUGAAAACUUACAGCUUAACUGUGAGCGUGCUUUCGAUACGGGCAGACUUGAGGCAUUCAGGGGAGAACGGAAUUCCUGGUGUAGCGGUGAAAUGCGCAGAUAUACAGGAGGAACACCGGGUGGCGUAAGGGCGGUU
rnacentral:rRNA from 1 species